rnacentral:rRNA from 1 species
UACGGGGGGGGCAAGCGUUGUUCGGAAUUACUGGGCGUAAAGGGCGCGUAGGCGGUCCGCUAAGUUGGAUGUGAAAACUCUGGGCUUAACCCAGAGCCUGCAUUCAAAACUGACGGGCUAGAGUUCUGGAGGGGGUAGCGGAAUUCCUGGUGUAGCGGUGAAAUGCGUAGAUAUCAGGAGGAACACCGGUGGCGAAGGCGGCUACCUGGACAGAAACUGACGCUGAGUGCGCGAAAGCUAGGGGAGCAAACAGG